rnacentral:rRNA from 1 species
GACGAACGCUGGCGGCGUGCUUAACACAUGCAAGUCGAACGAAGUGGCGAACGGGUGAGUAACGCGUAAUCAACCUGCCCUUCAGAGGGGGAGAACAGGCGGAAACGACUGCUAAUACCGCAUACGGAAGGAGGGGAUUGAGUCUGAUUAGCUAGUUGGGGGGGUAACGGCGCACCAAGGCGAUGACCAGUAGACGGUCGGAGAGGAUGAACGGCCACAUUGGGACUGAGACACGGCCCAGACUCCUACGGUAGGCAGCAGUGGGGAAUCUUCCGCAAUGGAGGAAACUCUGACGGAGCAACGCCGCGUGUGUGAAGAAGGUUUUCGGAUCGUAAAGCUCUGUUGUAAGGGAAGCGGUAUCUUACGAGAAAGCCACGGCUAACUACGUGCCAGCAGCCGCGGUAAUUC